GGAAGUUUGGUAGAGUUGGUUUAAUACAUCAGUCUUGAAAACUGACGAACUGUAAAAAGUUCCACAGGUUCGAAUCCUGUAGCUUCCG
rnacentral:tRNA from 1 species